ensembl:misc_RNA Y_RNA Y RNA
GGCUAGUCAGAGUGCAGUGGUGUUUAUAACUAACUGAUCACUACCAGCAGCAGAUUCCUCUGUUUCUUCUCCAUUCCCACUGCUUCAUCUGACUAGCACCCUAAA